CAAGUCGAGCGAGAUUUUUUCCUGUAGCAAUACAGGGAAAAGUCUAGCGGCGAACGGGUGCUUAACACGUGGGCAACCUGCCGAGAAGUGGGGGAUAGCUCGCCGAAAGGCGAAUUAAUACCGCAUGUGAUCAGAAUGGACAUCCAUUCAAAAUCAAAGUCGGGGCAACCUGACGCUUUUUGAGGGGCCCGCGGCCUAUCAGCUAGUUGGUGAGGUAACGGCCCACCAAGGCAGUGACGGGUAGCUGGUCUGAGAGGACGACCAGCCACACUGGGACUGAGACACGGCCCAGACACCUACGGGUGGCAGCAGUCGAGAAUUUUUCUCAAUGGGGGAAACCCUGAAGGAGCGACGCCGCGUGGAGGAUGAAGGUCUUCGGAUUGUAAACUCCUGUCAUUGGGGAACAAUGCGCAAAUAUUAACUGUAUUUGCGUUGAUAGUACCCGAAGAGGAAGAGACGGCUAACUCUGUGCCAGCAGCCGCGGUAAUACAGAGGUCUCAAGCGUUGUUCGGAUUCAUUGGGCGUAAAGGGUGCGUAGGCGGCGCGGUAAGUCGGAUGUGAAAUCUCGGAGCUUAACUCCGAAACUGCAUUCGAUACUGCCGUGCUCGAGGACUGGAGAGGAGACUGGAAUUUACGGUGUAGCGGUGAAAUGCGUAGAUAUCGUAAGGAAGACCAGUGGCGAAGGCGGGUCUCUGGACAGUUCCUGACGCUGAGGCACGAAGGCCAGGGGAGCAAACGGGAUUAGAUACCCCGGUAGUCCUGGCAGUAAACGGUGCACGUUUGGUGUGGGAGGAUUCGACCCCUUCUGCGCCGGAGCUAACGCGUUAAACGUGCCGCCUGGGGGAGUACGGUCGCAAGAUUAAAACUCAAAGAAAUUGACGGGGGCCCGCACAAGCGGUGGA
rnacentral:rRNA from 1 species